GAUGAACGCUGGCGGCGUGCCUAAUACAUGCAAGUCGAGCGAACAGACUAGGAGCUUGCUCCUCUGACGUUAGCGGCGGACGGGUGAGUAACACGUGGAUAACCUACCUAUAAGACUGGGAUAACUUCGGGAAACCGGAGCUAAUACCGGAUAACAUGUUGAACCGCAUGGUUCAACAGUGAAAGACUGUCUUGCUGUCACUUAUAGAUGGAUCCGCGCCGCAUUUGCUAGUUGGUAAGGUAACGGCUUACCAAGGCAACGAUGCGUAGCCGACCUGAGAGGGUGAUAGGACACACUAGAACUGUGACAAGGUCCAGACUACUAAGGAAGGCAGCAGUAGGGAAUCUUCCGCAAUGGGCGAGAGCAUGAAGGAGAAACGCCGCGUGAGUGAAGAAAGUCUUCGGAUCGUAAAACUCUGUUAAUAGGGAAAAACAGAUGUGUAAGUAACUAUGCACGUCUUGACGGUAACUAAUCAGAAAGCCACGGAUAACUACGUG
rnacentral:rRNA from 1 species